UACGGAGGGUGCAAGCGUUAUCCGGAUUCACUGGGUUUAAAGGGUGCGUAGGUGGGUUGGUAAGUCCGUGGUGAAAUCUUCCCGCUUAACGGGAAAACUGCCAUUGAUACUAUAGGUCUUGAAUUCAGUUGAGGUGGGCGGAAUGUGUCGUGUAGCGGUGAAAUGCUUAGAUAUGACACAGAACACCGAUUGCGAAGGCAGCUCGCUAAACUGACAUUGACGCUGAGGCACGAAAGCGUGGGGAUCAAACAGG
rnacentral:rRNA from 1 species